ACCGGGAUGGACAUACCUCUGGUGUACCAGUUGUCGUGCCAACGGCAUAGCUGGGUAGCUAUGUAUGGACGGGAUAAGUGCUGAAAGCAUCUAAGCAUGAAGCCCCCCUCAAGAUGAGAUUUCCCAACUUCGGUUAUAAGAUCCCUCGAAGAUGACGAGGUUAAUAGGUUCGAGGUGGAAGCGUGGUGACACGUGGAGCUGACGAAUACUAAUCGAUCGAAGACUUAAUCAA
rnacentral:rRNA from 2 species